CUUGUUAUUUCAAACAUCUUGUCGCCUCUAUCCUCUUUAGUCUCUUCAUAACGAAACUAAGAGGUAUCAACAGGAAAUUGAAUACCUGUCCUUUUGAAGACGGAUCAUAAGUGGAGUAUGAGUCAUACCAAUGAGUUCUACUGAUAUAUUAAUUAAAGUAAAUGUUCAUACAUUUGAAAUUAUUGGUACAGGUUACGUCAUAAUGACGUAACAGUGAGACUAGAGAAUGGACAGCUGACAACUAUAUACAAAGGCAGGGUAUUUUUGAAUGACGUAUGACUCACCUCAGAUGAGAGAAGAGAUGAAUGGAACUGCGUGGGAAGAUAUUUAAUUCAUAGCCAUCUGGAUGUAUCUUUUCUACGGAUCAAUCGUAUACAUGGAUCUGCAUCCAUCCAUCCUUCCCGUUCCUAGGAAUUCUCAUUUUUCCACUUAGAUAUCCAAUCCAAACUCCUGAUACUCUCUUGAAUGUCACAGUCUGUUCAGAGGAUCUCCCCUCUUUCCGCUUCACUCGGUGGGUCUCAUCUCCUUUAAUGGAAGGAUCGUUCAUAUUGAAGUUCACAUCAAGGUCUAUGAUAAUGACUUCAGGUCUUCUACAGAAUCAUCGUAUACUUCUACAUAUAAGAACUAA
rnacentral:lncRNA from 1 species